ACGAACGCUGGCGGCGUGCCUAAUACAUGCAAGUUGAGCGCUGAAGGUUGGUACUUGUACCAACUGGAUGAGCAGCGAACGGGUGAGUAACGCGUGGGGAAUCUGCCUUUGAGCGGGGGACAACAUUUGGAAACGAAUGCUAAUACCGCAUAAAAACUUUAAACACAAGUUUUAAGUUUGAAAGAUGCAAUUGCAUCACUCAAAGAUGAUCCCGCGUUGUAUUAGCUAGUUGGUGAGGUAAAGGCUCACCAAGGCGAUGAUACAUAGCCGACCUGAGAGGGUGAUCGGCCACAUUGGGACUGAGACACGGCCCAAACUCCUACGGGAGGCAGCAGUAGGGAAUCUUCGGCAAUGGACGAAAGUCUGACCGAGCAACGCCGCGUGAGUGAAGAAGGUUUUCGGAUCGUAAAACUCUGUUGGUAGAGAAGAACGUUGGUGAGAGUGGAAAGCUCAUCAAGUGACGGUAACUACCCAGAAGGGGACGGCUAACUACGUG
rnacentral:rRNA from 1 species